CUAAUUCUUCCUUCGUCGUUAAGGUAUCUCUUCCCCCCUUAAUUUCUCUACUGCUAAUGGCGAUAAUGCACUGAGAGAUCUGAUCCUCGCCCUACUGAGAGAUGCCUCCCUUAAUUACGUCCAGCGGGUGGUGAACUGAGAGAUAUCUGUUGGCCUUUGUCGCAGGCGCAUGCAGCUGCCGUGCGCCGGUGACCAGCGGCGCCGGCCGUCAGGAAAGCUAGCUGCAUGCGGUACCUCCAAGCUCAACGGCGGCCGGGGAGGAGCUAGCCGUCUGGAGGUCGACGACGCAGGAGAGGCUAUUACCUCUUGGACAUCACUCCACGUGGACUGCAAUAUGGAGAUCGAUAUACAACCGGUGAACCAUAUGAUGGAAAGACAUAAUUAAUUUUGAGCAAAGCCAGAUGCGUAGCUGGUCAAAAACUACCAGAAAAACGAAACACAAAGCAGAUCGACACAAGAUUAUUUGUAACACUUGUGCUGGCAUGACGUUGAACGACAGGAUGGGCUCCCCACCACCUCCGUGUAGCUGAGCGAGCUGCGCAACCAGUAAGGCCUUGUUCGGUUACGUCCGGAUUUAAUCCGGACCGAGAAUGACAAGCACAGUAAGAAAUUUAUAAUAUAUAUAAUAAGAGACCAGGAUUUAUUCCAGACCGGAAACCAAUUUACUCAUGAUAAGGACAACAAAACAUUCGGAUUGGUUCCACACCUCUUGACUAGUGGAUUGUCGACCCCCGAUUUUGGAAAUCGGAAAUCUUCUGUGUUUAUCAGUACCAAUCCCUGGAUCAGUAGUUGGUACACACAUACAUAGCCGAAUCACAACAUAUCACGAAUGAAUUCAGGCUAAGAGAGUUAAAUGCUUACAUUAGGGCCAGGCAGGCCAACAACUAUCAGAGAACAACAGCGGAAGACAAAAUAAUACAAGGGCCCGGUUGACAUGCCACAAGCAGUCGACUGGGGAACGAGAUCUAGAAUGGAAUCGCACUCCGAUCAUCUUGUUAAGUACGCAAGCGUACUAACAAUGGCUUCUCUUCAACACUCUGCUAAAAAAUAUAUAUAGAGCAACAAUGAGUACAAAAGUACUCAGCAAGCCACCACACAAAAUGCAGUAAUGUACAGGAUAAUACAAGGAGUGGCUAUGGUUACUUUGCGUAAAGCUGAGUUUUCAAAUAUCAUUUCACAAACCUAAGACCUAGCAUAAACUGGUCAAGUUUUAAUUCCAUUGUUCAUUAAACAGCGACGGUUCUGUCCACCAUCCAUUGUGUUCCCAAGGAUAGCUUCCCGCCACUGGUCGUCAUGGUUUUCUAGGGUCUACCCCUUCUCG